rnacentral:sRNA from 1 species
ACAUGUUCCGUACCACUCGCUUCAACGGCCUACUACUACUAAACGCCUCUUCUGUGCGCGGUAGGCUGGUGUGCGACGUUCAACGUUAAGUCAUCAUCAGUAAACGAAAAACCCGCGCCGCUGCGCGGGUUUUUUU